rnacentral:rRNA from 1 species
GAUGAACGCUGGCGGCGUGCCUAAUACAUGCAAGUCGAGCGAACGGACGAGAAGCUUGCUUUUCUGAUGUUAGCGGCGGACGGGUGAGUAACACGUGGAUAACCUACCUAUAAGACUGGGAUAACUUCGGGAAACCGGAGCUAAUACCGGAUAAUAUUUUGAACCGCAUGGUUCAAAAGUGAAAGACGGUCUUGCUGUCACUUAUAGAUGGAUCCGCGCUGCAUUAGCUAGUUGGUAAGGUAACGGCUUACCAAGGCAACGAUGCAUAGCCGACCUGAGAGGGUGAUCGGCCACACUGGAACUGAGACACGGUCCAGACUCCUACGGGAGGCAGCAGUAGGGAAUCUUCCGCAAUGGGCGAAAGCCUGACGGAGCAACGCCGCGUGAGUGAUGAAGGUCUUCGGAUCGUAAAGCUCUGUUAUUAGGGAAGAACAUAUGUGUAAGUAACUGUGCACAUCUUGACGGUACCUAAUCAGAAAGCCACGGCUAACUACGUG